rnacentral:rRNA from 1 species
UGGAUGAGUGGCGAACGGGUGAGUAACACGUGGGUGACCUGCCCCUACUCUGGGAUAAGCCUGGGAAACUGGGUCUAAUACUGGAUAUGACCUGCGAUCGCAUGGUUGUGGGUGGAAAGUUUUCGGUGGGGGAUGGGCCCGCGGCCUAUCAGCUUGUUGGUGGGGUGAUGGCCUACCAAGGCGACGACGGGUAGCCGGCCUGAGAGGGCGACCGGCCACACUGGGACUGAGACACGGCCCAG